CUCUGCUCACUCGGGUAGGAGUUUCGAGGCCAGCCUUCCGCCAGGCAGUUAUAUAGUUUGCCUGACUUCGGUUUCUGUUUCGAUUCUCUUCUUCAGGACUUUCCACACGUAAUCCGCUGGGCUGGGAGCGUCUGUUUGGUCGGGGAGGAGCCACCUUUUGGUCGGUUCUGGUAAGGACAGUCCUCUGGCCCUGUGGGAAACAGAAACGGAAAGCGAAUUCUCUCUUCCACGGAGUAAGACAGUAGCGCUUCAGCAAUGCCAGCGGGUAUUUUAUCGACUUUGCAGGGUUCUGCCUGAAAAUUCAGACUUCUCGCCCCGCGACUGUCUCGCACCACCCCUUGUCAGCUAAGAUCUGCAAGCGUGACUGGGGACUUCCCAGCCCAGAGGUGGAGAGAGAGAGACGGCCGCAGACCCUGAUGUCAACAGAAGUGAUUAGGCUCGACUGGAGAAUGCAGGCAGCCCCCAGCCCCGCCCGAGCGUGAGAUUACGGGGACAAGCAGAGAGAUGAUACUAAGAAGACAUCUUUUCGGAGAGAUGUAGCCCCCCAGGGUGAAGUGAGCUCUUUCCAGGAUAAACCUGCCCUCCUAUUGUACUGUUUAUUUGGCUUUGACCAAGGCCUGGUGACAGACGCGGAAGGACUUGAACUACCAACUCAGCUUAGAAGGAAGCCAAGACUGAAAGGUUUCUCUCUCCCAGUAUGUAAGUUCCCCAUAUUCUUUAAUAUACAACUUUCUUUAAUAAAACAAAACAAAAUCCCCAACAACUUAUUUUUGAUGUAGCUGCCAUUCUUUUCUUGGAUUCAAUACAGCAAGUUUUGGCUGAAGCAGCCAGGAACUUAAUUAGCAACUAAUGUACCAACUUGUAGUAAACAUCAACAUUUGUCUAUGUCAUGAGGAAAAAAAAGACACCCACACUGAAAAAUGGCAGCUUUGGUUCAGUACAGAAGCCACAUAAAUGUGAGUCCUUUGGGUUGCUACUCACUCUGGCAUUCUGCAGCCCUGGGUGACUAUGGGUGGUAGUUUAUGGGCUUCAUAAUGAGAACCUCAUGGUCCAGAAUUAUAUGGCGGUGGAAGGGGUCAUUUAGACCACUGAAAAGAUAUAUUUAGGCAAAGUAAUCGCUUCCCAGGUGGUGUAGUGGUAAAGAAUGCACCUGCCAAUGCAGGAGAUGCAAGAGACACUGGGUGGGGAAGAUCCCUGGGUCAGGAAGAUCCCCUGAGAAGGAAAUUUGCACCCACUCCGGGAUUCUUACCUGGAGAAUCCCGUGGACAUGGGUUAACAAUGCACAUUCAAUGAAGUUUGGAUAGGCCAGAGAAGUUUGGUGGUGUUUUGCACUGGGUAAGAGAAAUACAGAAUCUUUGUUUACUGGAGGCAUAGGAAAUAUCCAAUUCAAUACGUUAUAGUCUUAUUUUAUUUGCUAUGGAGGUAUAUUAUUUGCUAUAUUAUGUAGCUAGUAACAGCUUUUUUCUCCCUGGGAAUUGUAAUAUGCUUAAAGAAAAGACAUUUUUACACAGGACCAGUACAAUAUUCUGCAUAUAUGUAGGUCCUUGCUGAUUUUCCACCUGAAUGGGAAUUUUAUUGCCUUAACUGUAGCAACUGGCUUAAUGUCAAAACACAUAGUGAAAGUUGCUGAAGUGAAAUAAAACGUUGAGCUUGCAAGUGAGCCUGGUUUAUGCUUUUCUUUGCUAUCUCUUCAUAAAAUAAUACCAUAUCUUUAGUUACUUUGGG
ensembl:lncRNA